UUCGGAUGGAGAGUUUGAUCCUGGCUCAGAACGAACGCUGGC
rnacentral:rRNA from 1 species